rnacentral:rRNA from 1 species
UACGUAGGGUGCGAGCGUUAAUCGGAAUUACUGGGCGUAAAGCGUGCGCAGGCGGUUCGUGAUGUCUGAUUUGAAAGCCCCGGGCUCAACCUGGGAAUUGCAUUGGAAACUAGCGGGCUGGAGUGUGGCAGAGGGGGGUGGAAUUCCACGUGUAGCAGUGAAAUGCGUAGAGAUGUGGAGGAACACCGAUGGCGAAGGCAGCCCCCUGGGCUAACACUGACGCUCAUGCACGAAAGCGUGGGGAGCAAACAGG